UGAUCGGAUUUUUCUGGUCGGCGUAAGCUAACGCGUUAAGUGUCCCGCUUGGGAAGUACGGCCGCAAGGCUAAAACUCAAAGGAAUUGACGGGGGAGCGCACAACCGGUGGAGCAUGUGGUUUAAUUCGAUACAAAGCGAAAUACCUCACCCAGGUUUAAUAUAUCUGCAAAUCCAGCGAAAGCUGGACUUCUUCGAGAGUGAUAUACAGCUGUUGCAUGGCUGUCGUCAGUUCGUGUCGUGAGACGUUUCUUUAAGUAGAAUAACGAACGCAACCCCUAUCGUGUGUUGAAUUUUCACGCGAGACUGCUCUUGAUAGUAUCAAGGGAGGAAGGAGGGGACGAUGUCAAGUCAGCAUGACGGCUACACCCUGGGGCCACACACAUCCUACAAUGGGAAGUACAAUGGGUUGCCAACCAGUAAUGGGGAGCCAAUCCUGUAAAACUUCCCUCAGUUCAGAUUGAGGGC
rnacentral:rRNA from 1 species